CGCGGCCUAUCAGCUUGUUGGUGAGGUAAUGGCUCACCAAGGCUUCGACGGGUAGCCGGCCUGAGAGGGUGACCGGCCACACUGGGACUGAGACACGGCCCAGACUCCUACGGGAGGCAGCAGUGGGGAAUAUUGGACAAUGGGCGAAAGCCUGAUCCAGCAACGCCGCGUGAGGGAUGACGGCCUUCGGGUUGUAAACCUCUUUCAGCAGGGACGAAGCGAAAGUGACGGUACCUGCAAAAGAAGCACCGGCCAACUACGUGCCAGCAGCCGCGGUAAUACGUAGGGUGCGAGCGUUGUCCGGAAUUAUUGGGCGUAAAGAGCUUGUAGGCGGUUUGUCGCGUCUGCCGUGAAAAUCCGGGGCUCAACUCCGGACUUGCGGUGGGUACGGGCAGACUAGAGUGUGGUAGGGGAGACUGGAAUUCCUGGUGUAGCGGUGAAAUGCGCAGAUAUCAGGAGGAACACCGAUGGCGAAGGCAGGUCUCUGGGCCACUACUGACGCUGAGAAGCGAAAGCGUGGGGAGCGAACAGGAUUAGAUACCCUGGUAGUCCACGCCGUAAACGGUGGGUACUAGGUGUGGGUUUCCUUCCUUGGGAUCCGUGCCGUAGCUAACGCAUUAAGUACCCCGCCUGGGGAGUACGGA
rnacentral:rRNA from 1 species